rnacentral:rRNA from 1 species
UACAGAGGGUGCGAGCGUUAAUCGGAAUUACUGGGCGUAAAGCGUGCGCAGGCGGUUUUGUAAGCCAGAUGUGAAAUCCCCGGGCUUAACCUGGGAAUGGCAUUUGGGACUGCAAGGCUGGAGUGUGGCAGAGGAGACUGGAAUUCCUGGUGUAGCAGUGAAAUGCGUAGAUAUCAGGAGGAAUACCGAUGGCGAAGGCAGGUCUCUGGGCUGACACUGACGCUCAUGCACGAAAGCGUGGGGAGCAAACAGG